rnacentral:rRNA from 1 species
UAACACGUGGGCAACCUGCCCGGAAGUGGGGAAUACCUCGGGGAAACUCGAGCUAAUACCGCAUAACAUCUUUAGGACGAUGGUCCUGACGAUCAAAGCGGGGUCGCAAGAUCUCGCGCUACCGGAUGGGCCCGCGCCUGAUUAGCUAGUUGGUGGGGUAACGGCUCACCAAGGCUUCGAUCAGUAACCGGCCUGAGAGGGCGAUCGGUCACACCGGAACUGAGACACGGUCCGG